CGGUAGUGUAUUGGACUACCAUGGCACUCACGGGUAACAGGGAAUUGGGGUUCGAUUCUGGAGAAGGAGCCUGAGAAACGGCUACUACAUCUACGGAAGGCAGCAGGCGCGUAAAUUACCCAAUCCUGACUCAGGGAGGUGGUGACAAGAUAUAACGACGUACUUAAAAAUGCGAUUGGAGUGAGGGUUUUCCAAAUAGAACUUCUAGAACUAUUAGAGGGCAAGUCUGGUGCCAGCAGCCGCGGUAAUUCCAGCUCUAAUAGCGUAUAUUAAAGUUGCUACAGUUAAAAAGCUCGUAGUUGGAUUUCAAGGAUUCUUAUGAUCUUCUUGAUCAUAAAUCCUACUGUCCUCGGACUGUUACUGUGAGAAAAUCAGAGUGUUUCAAGCAGGCUUUUGCAAGAAUACAUUAGCAUGGAAUAACGAAUGUACUCAGAACCUUGGUUUGUUCUGAAUUACGAUUAAUAGAGACAGUUGGGGGCAUUAGUAUUUAAUAGUCAGAGGUGAAAUUCUUGGAUUUGUUAAAGACUAACGUAUGCGAAAGCAUUUGCCAAGGAUGUUUUCAUUAAUCAAGAACGAAAGAUAGGGGAUCAAAGACAAUCAGAUACUGUCGUAGUCCUAUCUAUAAACUAUGCCGACUAGGGAUUGGCGUGUAUCAUAAUAUCACUUCAGUACCUUAUGAGAAAUCAAAGUUUUUGGGUUCUGGGGGGAGUAUGGUCGCAAGACUGAAACUUAAAGAAAUUGACGGAAGGGCACCACCAGGAGUGGAGCCUGCGGCUUAAUUUGACUCAACACGGGGAAACUUACCAGGUCCAGACAUAGGAAGGAUUGACAGAUUGAGAGCUCUUUCUUGAUUCUAUGGGUGGUGGUGCAUGGCCGUUCUUAGUUGGUGGAGUGAUUUGUCUGGUUAAUUCCGAUAACGAACGAGACCUUAACCUGCUAACUAGUGCUAUUCAUUUUAUGUUUAGUCACUUCUUAGAGGGACUAUGAUACGAUUUAAGUUCAUGGAAGUUUGAGGCAAUAACAGGUCUGUGAUGCCCUUAUAUGUCCUGGGCUGCACGCGUGCUACACUGAUACAUACAACAAGUGCCUAGCUAGACAUAGCAUGGUAAUCUGCAAUAUGUAUCGUGAUGGGGAUAGAUCUUUGCAAUUAUAGAUCUUGAACGAGGAAUUCCUAGUAAGUGCAAGUCAUCAUCUUGCAUUGAUUAUGUCCCUGCCCUUUGUACACACCGCCCGUCGCUCCUACCGAUACCGGGUGUCCUGGUGAACCUAUUGGACCUCGCAAGAGGAAAAAUAAGUAAAUCAUAUCACUUAGAG
rnacentral:rRNA from 1 species